GAGGGUAUAUUUUAGUGAUGCAGUGCAUGCCUAGCAUGCAUGAGGUCCUGGGUUCAAUCCCCAGCACCUCCA
rnacentral:tRNA from 1 species